rnacentral:rRNA from 1 species
AACGAACGCUGGCGGCAGGCCUAACACAUGCAAGUCGAACGAACCUUCGGGUUAGUGGCGCACGGGUGCGUAACACGUGGGAAUAUACAUUUCGGUAAGGAAUAACACAGAGAAAUUUGUGCUAAUACCUUAUAAUGACUCCGGUCCAAAGAUUUAUCGCCGAAGGAUUAGCCCGCGCUAGAUUAGUUUGUUGGUGAGGUAAAAGCUCACCAAGACUACGAUCUAUAGCUGGUCUUAGAGGAUGAUCAGCCACACUGGAACUGAGACACGGUCCAGACUCCUACGGGAGGCAGCAGUGAGGAAUAUUGGACAAGUGGGGGCAACCCUGAUCCAGCCAUGCCGCGUGAAUGAAGAAGGCCUUAGGGUUGUAAAUUCUUUCAGAUGCGAAGAUAAUGACGGUACCAUCAGAAGAAGCUCCGGCUAAAUUCGUGCCAGCAGCCGCGGU